GCAGGGUGUGCCUGCCAUGCAGGGUUGCCAUGUGAGCCGCCAAAGGAAUUAGAGGUCCAGACCCUUCUCCACAUUGGCUCCAAUGUCGGUAUUUCACAGCACUGACUUAUUUCCCGUUGUAAUUUGGGGUGCAGUCCAGCAGCGUCUGAGGGUAGACACCAAGGCCACAGCUCAACAUUCUGUAGUGAAUGGGUAGUCACCCCAAUCCACGAAUGCUCCAGCUUGUGAACAGAGCCCAGGCUGAGGAAGGCUGGGUUGCAGGGAAGAAAGAAGUCAGCACCAACCCCCAGGAGCUCCAACUCGUGGAGCUUUCUUAUGGGAUACAUCCUGAAACUGUGUUCUAGCUCCCUCUGGAUUAGGAACUGGGUGCAAUGCAGACUCUAAAUUUCUGUAACAAUAUUUACUGCACAAUGUCAUGGAAAUUAAAUGAGCAAGAUACACAAAAGGAUUAAAUUCUAUGUCCAGGUGCCACAGAAGGGUUUGCCAUCACCAG
rnacentral:lncRNA from 1 species